GACGUGUAGCACGAGUGUUAUUUUGCGUAGUUGGGCGUAAAGUGCUUUCAGGUGAUUCAAUGUAUUUUAAGUGGUAGUGGGCAAAGCAGAACUUAACGUUUAAAAGAUUAUUGAAUUUGAUUUUUAAAGCGGUAAGUGGUACUGAGAGAGGACCUGUGAAAUGGCAUGAUACUCAGGGGACCACCAUUGACGAAGGAAACUUACCAGUUAAAAUUAAAGCUCAGGAGCUAAGGCAUGGGUAUCGAGCGGG
rnacentral:rRNA from 1 species